GGUACAGUAGCCUAGUGGUAAACGUCCGAGUAGGUAGAUAAAAGAUUUCCUUCAUUCAUGCAUCGAGGUCCCCAGUUCGAAUCUGGGCUGCACCA